GACCGAACGAUUUGUAUGGCCUGGAAU
rnacentral:sRNA from 1 species